CCUACGGGAGGCAGCAGUGAGGAAUAUUGGUCAAUGGGCGCAAGCCUGAACCAGCCAUGCCGCGUGCAGGAAGAAUGCCCUACGGGUUGUAAACUGCUUUUAUUUGGGAAUAAACCUUUCUACGUGUAGAAAGCUGAAGGUACCAAUUGAAUAAGCACCGGCUAACUCCGUGCCAGCAGCCGCGGUAAUACGGAGGGUGCAAGCGUUAUCCGGAAUCAUUGGGUUUAAAGGGUCCGCAGGCGGACCUAUAAGUCAGUGGUGAAAGCCUACAGCUUAACUGUAGAACUGCCAUUGAAACUGUAGGUCUUGAAUUCGGUCGAAGUGGGCGGAAUGUGUAGUGUAGCGGUGAAAUGCAUAGAUAUUACACAGAACACCGAUAGCGAAGGCAGCUCACUAGGCCUGGAUUGACGCUCAGGGACGAAAGCGUGGGGAUCAAACAGGAUUAGAUACCCUGGUAGUCCACGCCGUAAACUAUGAUUACUCGUUUUUACGGCGUAUAUACUAGUACGGUACGACGUAAGUACGAAGUAGUAGUAAGUAAUACCUACCGUACGGGUAGGUACGUAGUACGCGACGGUUAGUAACGUAACGUAAAGAAGUUAGUACGGACGUGAGACGUAGACGACGACGACGACGAGGGAGGAGG
rnacentral:rRNA from 1 species